GACGAACGCUGGCGGCGUGCUUAACACAUGCAAGUCGUACGGUAAGGCCCUUUCGGGGGUACACGAGUGGCGCACGGGUGAGUAACACGUGAGUAACCUGCCCACAACUUUGGGAUAACGCUAGGAAACUGGUGCUAAUACUGGAUAUGUGCUCCUGCUGCAUGGUGGGGGUUGGAAAGCUCCUGCGGUUGUGGAUGGACUCGCGGCCUAUCAGCUUGUUGGUGGGGUAGUGGCCUACCAAGGCGGCGACGGGUAGCCGGCCUGAGAGGGUGACCGGCCACAUUGGGACUGAGAUACGGCCCAGACUCCGACGGGAGGCAGCAGGGGGGAAUAUUGCACAAUGGGCGCAAGCCUGAUGCAACAACGCCGCGUGCGGGAUGACGGCCUUCGGGUUGUAAACCGCUUUCAGCAGGGACGAAGCUUUUUGUGACGGUACCUGCAGAAGAAGCACCGGCUAACUACGUG
rnacentral:rRNA from 1 species